AUGAACGCUGGCGGCGUGCCUAAUACAUGCAAGUCGAGCGAACGGACGAGAAGCUUGCUUCUCUGAUGUUAGCGGCGGACGGGUGAGUAACACGUGGAUAACCUACCUAUAAGACUGGGAUAACUUCGGGAAACCGGAGCUAAUACCGGAUAAUAUUUUGAACCGCAUGGUUCAAAAGUGAAAGACGGUCUUGCUGUCACUUAUAGAUGGAUCCGCGCUGCAUUAGCUAGUUGGUAAGGUAACGGCUUACCAAGGCAACGAUGCAUAGCCGACCUGAGAGGGGGAUCGGCCACACUGGAACUGAGACACGGUCCAGACUCCUACGGGAGGCAGCAGUAGGGAAUCUUCCGCAAUGGGCGAAAGCCUGACGGAGCAACGCCGCGUGAGUGAUGAAGGUCUUCGGAUCGUAAAACUCUGUUAUUAGGGAAGAACAUAUGUGUAAGUAACUGUGCACAUCUUGACGGUACCUAAUCAGAAAGCCACGGCUAACUACGUG
rnacentral:rRNA from 1 species